GGAGGCCCACAGUAGCGCCGUUUUUGUCUAACCCUCUCCCUUGCACUUCGUACGGUCACUUUUAGCUUGGCACAGUAUAGAUUUAAAAGCAGCAGUUCGAUACGUUCAAUCAUCGGCAGGUUUAUUGCAAAUAAAAAUGCAAUUAACCCGAGAUCGCAUGUAACAAUGAAACAAACAAUACCCAAUUCCAUUUGUUAUAAUAGAAUUGCGCUUCGCGUUCGUUUAGCAGUUGACUGGAAAAACAGCAGAGUGCUGUUCAGUUUCCCAAAGGAAAAUGUUUAUGAAGCUGGCCCUGGUUGUUUUCCUGGCGAUUUUUCAGUGUGAGGGCUCGUUUAGACUGGAUAUUUUGAAUGCGCUAAGAGAUCCAUGUUCGCGUAUAAUGUGCCACCAAUCUGGCACUAUUUGUCGCGGCAUGGGCAGAUGUGGCGAUCUUUGCAAUCCCGAUAUGAUAUGCGGCCAUAUUCUGCUCUACAACUGCUACUGCCAGGAGGGCUACUGCCGAAAGGACGGGAAAUGUGUGAUGGAAAGCGAAAAAGCCACUCAAUAACAAUAUGUUUUACAGAAAAAAAAUGUCUAUAGAAAUAAAGUCGUCACUUGGUAGCUGAA